rnacentral:rRNA from 1 species
AGGGCACCACCAGGAGUGGGGCCUGCGGCUUAAUUUGACUCAACACGGGAAAACUUACCCGGCCCGGACACUGGAAGGAUUGACAGAUUGAGAGCUCUUUCUUGAUUCAGUGGGUGGUGGUGCAUGGCCGUUCUUAGUUGGUGGAGCGAUUUGUCUGGUUAAUUCCGAUAACGAACGAGACUCUAGCCUACUAAAUAGACUGUUCAGCUUUAUAGCCGGAAUCACCGGGCGCGUAGCUCUCGGGUUGCGCGUUCGGCUCUGGUGACGUUGACAGUGCUUCUUAGAGGGACAGGCGGCGGUUCAGCCGCACGAAACAGAGCAAUAACAGGUCUGUGAUGCCCUUAGAUGUCUGGGGCUGCACGCGCGCUACACUGGAGUGAUCAGCGUGCAAUUUACGUUUGGUGAUCUGUCAAGAUUGCCCAACCCGUUGAACCUUCUUCGUGAUUGGGAUAGGGGAUUGUAAUUAUUCCCCUUGAACGAGGAAUUCCCAAUAAGCGCAAGUCAUAAGCUUGCGUUGAU